UCGCUUGUUCGUGGCUUCUCUGAGAAGAAAAGUUGAAAAAGGGUAAAAGUUUUCAGGAAUAUUCGGGCUCUCUAUUGCUAAGCAUAGCGAGUGUCGGUUUUCUCUCUCCAACAGACAUCGCUAUUGCGGUUCCGAGGCAGUGGGAAGAGAUGCGGCCCCUGGACAUCGUCGAGCUGGCGGAACCGGAGGAAGUGGAGGUGCUGGAGCCCGAGGAGGAUUUCGAGCAGUUUCUGCUCCCGGUCAUCAACGAGAUGCGCGAGGACAUCGCGUCGCUGACGCGCGAGCACGGGCGGGCGUACCUGCGGAACCGGAGCAAGCUGUGGGAGAUGGACAAUAUGCUCAUCCAGAUCAAAACGCAGGUGGAGGCCUCGGAGGAGAGCGCCCUCAACCACCUCCAGAACCCGGGCGACGCGGCCGAGGGCCGGGCGGCCAAGAGGUGCGAGAAGGCCGAGGAGAAGGCCAAGGAGAUUGCGAAGAUGGCAGAGAUGCUGGUGGAGCUGGUCCGGCGGAUAGAGAAGAGCGAGUCGUCGUGAGCGCGGUCGGCGGUAAGUCGGGCACCCGCGCCAGGCCGAGGAGCGGCCCCAGCUUGGCCGCUCUUCGAGAGCGAUGAUUUCAUCGAGACGCACCGGAAUCGGGGGUGGGGCGGGAGAAUAAAGGCGUGCUGCGGUCAGGGCGGAUCUGGACCCCGUCUCCGUGUUUUGGUUUUUGACGGUGGCGGCGUGGGAUAAUCAGAGUGGCCGGGUUUGGGCGUGAUGCGUGUUCAGUGGACGGUCAUAAAUCUCAGAGUCGCCAAGGAAACAGAAACGGACAAGGUCCCGGGCCGUCCAGCAAGCGGGGGUGGAAAUAGAGGAUUUUCGGGGAAGACGUUGGGCAAGUCAACGUUGCUAGAGACUGGAGUGAGUCAGGUGGUGGCCAGAAGAGGUGGCGUCCUGCACAGUGGCGUUCGUGAGGGUUUGGGGGUCGUUGUGCCUGGGAUUAACCUCUCGAUGAUGAAUUUCUUCCCAUUGUGCUUUAGGUUUACAGCCAAUGGAUUCUGGUCAACUGGUGGAGAUUGGCUGACAUCCUGGAGAAGCCGAAACCAGAGAGCCUUUUGUUUUCUCUUUUUUCCUCUGUCUAUGCUCUGUCUCACUUAACACUACGUUUUCUGCUAUGGUCUGUGGUUGAUGACCUCAAUAUGAGUUUCGAUUGUUAACGUGUUUUUGUUUGGGAAGUAAUUUUGUUUGAAAAUGCUCUCACAUACAGGAAUUAAGGCCUAGAUUGUAAGCUCUUGCAGCAGUCACAUUUGUUCCCGGGCUUUGGUUGUUACUUCUAAAUUUUUGAGGUGCUUUGCUAUUUCUUGUGUGACCUGAUAGCUCCCUGGAACUUUGGGUCUGUGUGUGACACAUGAGACUCACAGUUGGAGUUCUCCAGCCCUGGAGGUGCUGAAGGAGCUGCAUUAAUUCUGGAAGACGACUCCAUGCAGCAACUACUGAAGAAAGGACCAGACUUCAACGGGGAGUGUGGAUGGGCCGACCUGGCUGGGACUCGUGAAUCUGGAGAAGAGCUGGAGAAUGGAUAGUAUUGUCUGUAUUUGGAGACUUUAAUUUCUGUGUGAGACCAAAGGAGGAGAGAUGUAUUUUGUUCAAAAUUUAAAUUUGUUGUGGUACACUAUCUUAUGUAACCUGUCUGGUGAGUUUGUUUGGACAACCUAACUCAGCUUUAUUUGACAUGGAACCUAAAAUAGAAGAUAAGAUCUUGAUAUUCUGUACAAGUUGAUGUAAUACCCUGAUGCGUUUUAGAGGACUUGGCAUAAAAUGAAAGAUUGGCAAAGGCCCUUGAGGGGCUCGGGGAUGAGAGUAUGGAACUGUCUGCAUUGGACCCUAAACUGGACUGGAAGAGGCAUCUUCAAGGUUCAUACGUUGUCCAGCUGUAAGUUCAUUUGAGUAGCAGACCUAACAAAUAUUUGAGGUCAAAACCCUACCAUGUUAAAACAAAAAAAAACUU
rnacentral:sRNA from 1 species